rnacentral:rRNA from 1 species
AUUGAACGCUGGCGGCAUGCCUUACACAUGCAAGUCGAACGGUAACAGGUCUUCGGAUGCUGACGAGUGGCGAACGGGUGCGUAAUACAUCGGAACGUGCCCAGACGUGGGGGAUAACGAGGCGAAAGCUUUGCUCAUACCGCAUACGAUCUAAGGAUGAAAGCAGGGGACCGCAAGGCCUUGUGCGUUUGGAGCGGCCGAUGGCAGAUUAGGUAGUUGGUGGGAUAAAAGCUUACCAAGCCGACGAUCUGUAGCUGGUCUGAGAGGACGACCAGCCACACUGGGACUGAGACACGGCCCAGACUCCUACGGGAGGCAGCAGUGGGGAAUUUUGGACAAUGGGCGAAAGCCUGAUCCAGCAAUGCCGCGUGCAGGAUGAAGGCCUUCGGGUUGUAAACUGCUUUUGUACGGAACGAAAAGGCUCUGGCUAAUACCUGGGGCACAUGACGGUACCGUAAGAAUAAGCACCGGCUAACUACGUG